CUCUCUCUCUCUCUCUCUCUCUCUCUCUCUCUCUCUCUCUCUCUCUCUCUCUCUCUCUCUCUCUCUCUCUCUCUCUCUCUCUCUCUCUCUUCCGAAGAACACAUGUGAAUUCACUCUCGCUCUCCCAAAAUCAUAAAAGUAAACCAAUGGGAUUAGCAAGAGCAUUCUGAAGAUGGAAUACUCAAUGCUCAAGUAUGGAUAUCCGGCCUUCAAUGACAUGGAUGAACAAAAUCACAAGAUGUGGUUUCUCAAUUUGCGAAAGAGUUCACUUGAGAGUCUGGGUUGACGGAAACGGUGUGCAUCAUUCUACCACUACGCAACGGGCCACUAUGAUAAGGAGAUCUUUCGUGGAAGCAGAAAUGACUUGAAGACAAGACACCGAAAAUGAUUAACAUGAUGGUCUGGGAGGACUUGCAGGUGCAUUGGGCAAAACCUGAUACACAAGUUGAGUCAUAGAUCAAAUCGUAAGUGUAUGUCUAUAACUUAGGUAGCACCGGUAUGUCUUCCUCGAAGAUCAACUCGUAAGUGUUUUAAAUACUUUUAACUUUAUUUCUUUUCUUACUAAUUAAUUAAUCUUUGUAUUUUGUAGAUUGCAGAAGAUGAUGGUAAUCCCAUCGAUGAUCUCAGUCUGUUGAAGAGGCAUACAUCAACAAGAAAAUAUGUUAAAUUCAAGAUCCUGUUAGGAGGGAGGUCAUCCACCUGGUGGAAACCCAGGCGGAAAAAGUCAUUGCUUCCCAACCUUUGUCUGAAGAUCGAUCUUUUCGGAUUCCAACAGUUUGAUGUGGGAGCAAAUGAACAACCUCGUACUUAAAGCUCCAUGAUCAAGAGAUUUUAGAGCAGUUGUAGAACAAAGAAUAUCGUAUUGCAGUUUUAGAGUCCUAGAUGGUGGAACAAUAAAGUCAGAACCAGAUGAUGCUGGACAAGAUGAAACAACUGUUUCCCAUGAAUUUUAGUUUCUUUACAUUUUAGAACUUUUAAAUGUUAUUUUUAAAUUUCUAAAUUUUUAUGUAUAUUUGGAAUUUAAUUUAUAUUUUAAUUAAUAAAUUAAAAUUUUAAUUAGUAAUUUAAUUAUUAUAAUUCAUAUACGAGAUUAAUAAAAAUUGAAAAAUCUUAAUUUAAAUUUCCAGCAAAAAGAAAUUCGUCGAAAAUUGAAGUUAUUUUUCGAUGAACAUGAUUACGUCGAAAAUAUAUCCCGAAAAAAAAAUAUAUAUAUAUAUAUCCCGACACAACUAAAUUCUUAGGGAAUAUGUCCCGAGGAAACAAUAUUUCUCCAAAAUAAAGUUGGUAUAUUUUCUUGACAAAAUUAUUAAUUGGUAUAUAUUUUCGACGAACAGAGUAUACGUAAGUAUU